rnacentral:rRNA from 1 species
CGGCGAGUGAAGCGGCAACAGCUCAAAUUUGAAAUCUGGCCUCACGGUCCGAGUUGUAAUUUGUAGAGGAUGCUUCUGGCGACGUGCCUUCCGAGUUCCCUGGAACGGGACGCCAUAGAGGGUGAGAGCCCCGUCCGGUCGUGCACCUAGCCUCUGUGAAGCUCCUUCGACGAGUCGAGUAGCUUGGGAAUGCUGCUCUAAAUGUGAGGUAUACGUCUUCUAAAGCUAAAUACCGGCCAGAGACCGAUAGCGCACAAGUAGAGUGAUCGAAAGAUGAAAAGCACUUUGAAAAGAGGGUUAAAUAGUACGUGAAAUUGCUGAAAGGGAAGCGCUUAUGACCAGACUUGGGCUCGGUGAAUCAUCCGGCGUUCUCGCCGGUGCACUUUGCCGUCCCAGGCCAGCAUCAGUUCGCGCCGGGGGAUAAAGGUUUCGGGAACGUAGCUCCCUCGGGAGUGUUAUAGCCCGUUGCGUAAUACCCUGGCGUGGACUGAGGUCCGCGCUCUGCA